rnacentral:rRNA from 1 species
UGAGUAACCUGCCCUUAACUCUGGGAUAAGCCUGGGAAACUGGGUCUAAUACUGGAUAUGACUCCUCAUCGCAUGGUGGGGGGUGGAAAGCUUUAUUGUGGUUUUGGAUGGACUCGCGGCCUAUUAGCUUGUUGGUGAGGUAAUGGCUCACCAAGGCGACGACGGGUAGCCGGCCUGAGAGGGUGACCGGCCACACUGGGACUGAGACACGGCCCAGACCUCCUACGGGAGCAG